rnacentral:misc_RNA from 1 species
GAUGAAGAACGUAGCGAAAUGCGAUAAGUAAUGUGAAUUGCAGAAUUCAGUGAAUCAUCGAAUCUUUGAACGCACAUUGCGCCCGCCAGUAUUCUGGCGGGCAUGCCUGUUCGAGCGUCAUUUCAACCAUCAAGCCCCAGGCUUGUGUUGGAGCCCUGCGGCUGCCGCAGCCUCCCAAAACCAGUGGCGGGCUCGCUAUCACACCGAGUGCAGUAGUUUACUCUUCGCUCAGGGCGUGUGGCGGGUGCUAGCCGUAAAACCCCCAACUUCUCAAGGAUGACCUCGGAUCAGGUAGGAAUACCCGCUGAACUUAAGCAUAUCAAUAAGCGGAGGA